AGAUUCCCAUCUGUCCCUAUCUACUAUCUAGCGAAACCACAGCCAGGGGAACGGUCCUGGAAAAAUUAGCGGGGAAAGAAGACCCUGUAGAGCUUGACUCCAGUCUGGCCCUGUACGGAGACAUGAGAGGUGUAGAAUAAGUGGGAGAUGGGGUGGCGGUUCCGGUCGCGUGCCCAUCGACGGUGAAAUACCACUACUCUCAUCGUUUCCUUACUUACUCGAUGAAGCGGAAUGCGUGUGGUUCCGUCGCCAAUCACGGAAUUCUUGAACCAAGCGCAAGCGGGUCGCCGGUGUUUCGGCGAUUAUCCCCGAGCGCGAUCCUAUUCGAGGACCGCGCCAGGCGGGGAGUUCGACUGGGGCGGUACAUCUGUCAAAGAAUAACGCAGGUGUCCUAAGGUCGGCUCAGCGAGGACAGAAACCUCGCUCGGAGCAAAAGGGCAAAAGCCGGCUUGAUCUCGAUGUUCAGCACGCAUAGGGACUGCGAAAGCAAGGCCUUUCGAUCCUUUUGGCUUGACGAGUUUUCAGCAAGAGGUGCCGGAAUAGUUACCUCAGGGAUAACUGGCUUGUGGCGGCCAAGCGUUCAUAGCG
rnacentral:rRNA from 1 species